CAGAUGUGAAAGACCCGGGGCGUCAACCUCGGAAUAGCAUUUGAAACUAGGCAAACUAGAGUACUGUAGAGGGGGGUAGGAAUUUCAGGUGUAGCGGUGAAAUGCGUAGAGAUCUGAAGGAAUACCGGUGGCGAAGGCGGCCCCCUCGGACAGAUACUGACACUCAGAUGCGAAAGCGUGGGGAGCAAACAGGAUUAGAUACCCUGGUAG
rnacentral:rRNA from 1 species